rnacentral:rRNA from 1 species
UACGUAGGGAGCAAGCGUUGUUCGGAUUUACUGGGCGUAAAGGGCGCGUAGGCGGCAAUUCAAGUCAUCUGUGAAAUCUCGGAGCUUAACUCCGAAACUGCAUUCGAUACUGCCGUGCUUGAGGACUGGAGAGGAGACUGGAAUUUACGGUGUAGCGGUGAAAUGCGUAGAUAUCGUAAGGAAGACCAGUGGCGAAGGCGGGUCUCUGGACAGUUCCUGACGCUGAGGCACGAAGGCCAGGGGAGCAAACGGG